rnacentral:rRNA from 1 species
UACGAAGGGGGCUAGCGUUGUUCGGAAUUACUGGGCGUAAAGCGCGCGCAGGCGGUUCUUCAAGUCAGAGGUGAAAGCCCAGAGCUCAACUCUGGAAUGGCCUUUGAGACUAGAGAACUAGGGUACGGGAGAGGUGAGUGGAAUUCCGAGUGUAGCGGUGAAAUGCUUAGAUAUGACAUAGAACACCAAUUGCGAAGGCAGCUCACUACACAAUCAUUGACUCUGAGGCACGAAAGCGUGGGGAUCAAACAGG